rnacentral:lncRNA from 1 species
CUGCAGACUCCGCCUUCUGCGAGCGGAGUUUAGCGGGAUUCUGUAGUGCUUAAGUCUGAGAGCUGCGGCGCAGGCGAGUGAAUCGUCUGUUGUCAUUCUAUGUUAGAAGCCUUAGUUUCUCCUCGGAUUGCUCAGCUUUUGGGAAGAUGGAAGCUGUACUUUGUUGGGCCACGGAGGCGCUGGUCUUUUCGGGCCUCUGGCUCCGCCCCUGGUUGACUUCUGAAUGGCGAGCCUUGUCACCUGAAGUUUCCAUGUCUCCUGGGGAAUCCAGUGCUCACGGACUCGAUCUGAGCCCGGAAAAAUUGUAUGAGGUGGUAGUAGGUGCUAGGCCUACUGUUCAACUCCUUACCCUGAAAAACUAUGUCAUCAUAAACAAUGGAAGGCCUAACAUUUCAGGAAGUUUUAUUGGAGGUCCUUCAGUACAGCUGGCGCUUUCUGAGUUCAGUGUGUCAGGCUGUGUCCGCGUUUAAAAACACGAAUUAGCGACUCUAUGCAAUUCCUGAAACUGUUUUAAUUGAACCCCAGGGCGCAUUUUCGACAGUAUUUCGCUAAGAUGCUGAGGGUCUCAAUUGUUGCGGCUGGCCUGAAACUUGUGAUCGUCCUGCUGCACCUGACGCGAUGGCUAGGAUUAGAGGCCUGCACCACGAUGCCAGCUUGACAUUGUUCUCAUUUUGCAGAUGUGUAAACAGUCGCAGAAUGGUUAGUCAACUGUUAACCGAGAAAUGGAUUUGUUCCCAGGCAGUCUAGCUGCAGAGCAAGUGUUCUUAAAUAUUUACAGAAUCCAGUACUACUGGUAAAUGAUACUGUUACAAGUGUAUACUGUUCUUUACUAAAAACAAAAAGCAUGGUUUUCAGCUGUACUCACUUGAGCACAUUGACGCUAACGAAUUAGAAAGGGCCAUGAUUAAAAUGGUUAUGGUGCUAUUCAAGGCAAGGUACAGAAAAAUGGCCAACAUACUAUUUUUGAGUGCCUUAGUUCUUUUGAGCUGGUAUAACAAAAUUAGCUACUUUAUGAACAACAGAAAUUGAUUUCCCCACAGUUCUGGAAGCUUGGGAAGUCAAGAACUAGGAGCUUGUAGUCAGUGUGUGGUGAGGAAUGCUUUCCAGUCUUUUUUGUUGGUGCACUUUCCACUGUUAUUUUGGAAGUCAAAAUUUCAAUAUAUGGACUUGUGGGGGAAGGCAUAACACAUUUAUUUAGACCAUGUAUUUUAGAACAUGAAUUAAAUUGCCUUCUCAGCCCUGAAAUGGCUUUGCAAUAAUCUCAACCAGUUUCAAACUACCCAAAACGAGCCUAUGUUUUGAAAUUGUUUUUCAGUUUAAAGAAGUAAAAUAAGAUUUUUAUGAUUUUUUUGUUUUGUUUAAAAAAGAAUUUAUGG